rnacentral:rRNA from 1 species
GACGAACGCUGGCGGCGUCCUUAACACAUGCAAGUCGAACGGAAAGGCCCUGCUUUUGUGGGGUGCUCGAGUGGCGAACGGGUGAGUAACACGUGAGUAACCUGCCCUUGACUUUGGGAUAACUUCAGGAAACUGGGGCUAAUACCGGAUAGGAGCUCCUGCUGCAUGGUGGGGGUUGGAAAGUUUCGGCGGUUGGGGAUGGACUCGCGGCUUAUCAGCUUGUUGGUGGGGUAGUGGCUUACCAAGGCUUUGACGGGUAGCCGGCCUGAGAGGGUGACCGGCCACAUUGGGACUGAGAGACGGCCCAGACUCCUACGGGAGGCAGCAGUGGGGAAUAUUGCACAAUGGGCGGAAGCCUGAUGCAGCAACGCCGCGUGCGGGAUGACGGCCUUCGGGUUGUAAACCGCUUUCGCCUGUGACGAAGCGUGAGUGACGGUAAUGGGUAAAGAAGCACCGGCUAACUACGUG